CCUACGGGAGGCAGCAGUGGGGAAUAUUGCGCACUGGGCGAAAGCCUGACGCAGCGACGCCGCGUGAGGGAUGAAGGUCUUCGGAUCGUAAACCUCUGUCAGCAGGGAAGAACGGUCACUGUGCUAAUCAGCAGUGAAUUGACGGUACCUGCAAAGGAAGCAGCGGCUAACUCCGUGCUAGCAGCCGCGGUAAUACGGAGGGUGCGAGCGUUAAACGGAAUUACUGGGCGUAAAGCGCUCGUAGGCGGUAUGUCAAGUCAAGAGGGAAAUCCCCGCGCUCAACGUGGGGACUGCCUUUGAAACUGGCAAACUGGAGUGUGUGAGAGGAUAGUGGAAUUCCAGGUGUAGGAGUGAAAUCCGUAGAUAUCUGGAGGAACAUCAGUGUCGAAGGCGACUAUCUGGCACAUAACUGACGCUGAGGAGCGAAAGCGUGGGUAGCAAACAGGAUUAGAUACCCCAGUAGUC
rnacentral:rRNA from 1 species